rnacentral:rRNA from 1 species
UACGUAGGGUGCAAGCGUUGUCCGGAAUUAUUGGGCGUAAAGAGCUCGUAGGCGGUCUGUCGCGUCGGCUGUGAAAACCCGGAGCUCAACUCCGGGCCUGCAGUCGAUACGGGCAGACUGGAGUUCGGCAGGGGAGACUGGAAUUCCUGGUGUAGCGGUGAAAUGCGCAGAUAUCAGGAGGAACGCCGAUGGCGAAGGCAGGUCUCUGGGCCGAUACUGACGCUGAGGAGCGAAAGCGUGGGGAGCGAACAGG